AAGAAAUGCCAUGUGAGAUGAAAGCGAGCUCAAGGUACUGAAUGAGGCUCGCCGCUCGUGUGAACCCUGAAGGUCUUUUUCCUUUUUGUUUAUUCACUUUAAUUAAUGCUCGAAAUUGUACAAAUAUAACCCGUUCAUAAUUCGCCAUACACGUCUUUACUGUAGUCUCUUCUUCUUUUUGAAUUUCUUAGCUAAUUGCGUUGUCAGAGGAGGUGUUCUUGGUAAAGACCACCAGGUUAUUUUUCGUUGCGAAUCAACUUCAUGCUUUUGAUUUACCUAUUGAAUGUUAUAAUUUAUUUCUUUUCCAUUGUUCUCUUUGGGGACGGGGUUCCUAGUUGGUAUGACAUUUAAGUAUUUAACUGAUAUUUCUAUGCUACAUAAUGCAUUAUUGUAAGGGACUUGAGAGGGAUUCUUAUCUGGGUUUGGUCAAGUCAUUGUGAGUUCUCGAAAUUCCUUUCAAUAGAGUGAUGCCAUAAUUUGAGAGUAUGGCUUCAUACCGAGGAGAUUUGCUACUUUUAUGUGGCUUAUUUUCAUUAAUUGAAGUUUAUUUGGUCUUUUAUUAAUCAAUUGACAGGUGCUGACAGUAAAUUUUGAGCUGCAAGUUGGAAAUAUAGUCAAUUGGUUUUAUCCAUAAUCAUAUUAAAACCGAAUUAUAUUUGAGUUUUUUUCCUGUGAUGGCUAUGUGUUCGCCGCAGUAUUUUAUGCCUCCAGAAACUCGCAGACCCAUGGGGGUACUGAAUGUUCUUGGACGAAGAGUUGGCCCCGUAAAAAUUGUUAAAGAAAAGAGUGGGCUUUUAGGUAUUAGUCAAAAGAGUGGUUCAAAUGUUCCUCGGUGCAAAUGUUCGACCAACUCUCACAGUGUUAAUCAAUUUCAAGGUAAGGACCCAUUUCUGAAUCUUCACCCAGAGAUUUCUAUGCUAAGAGGCGAGACAUAUGCCACAAUGACUAGCCCAAGACUGGACAGCUUGAGCGGAAGUGUUACUGAAAGUUCAAGUGAUUUGUCAAGUUUGAACAAUUACAAUGAGGCCAAGAUCAUGGUUAUUGGUGUUGGAGGUGGUGGGUCAAAUGCAGUUAAUCGUAUGAUUGAGAGUGCAAUGAAGGGUGUGGAAUUCUGGAUUGUUAACACUGAUAUUCAGUCCAUGAGUAUGUCCCCUGUGUUCUCUGAGAAUCGGUUGCAAAUUGGCCAAGAGUUAACCAGAGGACUUGGUGCUGGUGGGAACCCAGACAUUGGGAUGAAUGCUGCAAAAGAAAGCAAAGAAGCUAUAGAAGAGGCAGUUUAUGGAUCUGACAUGGUGUUUGUUACUGUAAGU
rnacentral:lncRNA from 1 species